rnacentral:rRNA from 1 species
UGGGGGAUAUUGCGCAAUGGGGGCAACCCUGACGCAGCAACGCCGCGUGAAGGAUGAAGGUUUUCGGAUUGUAAACUUCUUUUAUUAAGGACGAAACUUGACGGUACUUAAUGAAUAAGCUCCGGCUAACUACGUGCCAGCAGCCGCGGUAAUACGUAGGGAGCAAGCGUUGUCCGGAUUUACUGGGUGUAAAGGGUGCGUAGGCGGCUUUGCAAGUCAGAUGUGAAAUCUAUGGGCUCAACCCAUAAACUGCAUUUGAAACUGUAGAGCUUGAGUGAAGUAGAGGCAGGCGGAAUUCCCCGUGUAGCGGUGAAAUGCGUAGAGAUGGGGAGGAACACCAGUGGCGAAGGCGGCCUGCUGGGCUUUAACUGACGCUGAGGCACGAAAGCGUGGGUAGCAAACAGGAUUAGAUACCCUGGUAGUCCACGCUGUAAACGAUGAUUACUAGGUGUGGGGGGUCUGACCCCUUCCGUGCCGGAGUUAACACAAUAAGUAAUCCACCUGGGGAGUACGGCCGCAAGGUUGAAACUCAAAGGAAUUGACGGGGGCCCGCACAAGCAGUGGAGUAUGUGGUUUAAUUCGAAGCAAUGCGAAGAACCUUACCAGGUCUUGACAUCCAACUAACGAAGUAGAGAUACAUUAGGUGCCCUUCGGGGAAAGUUGAGACAGGUGGUGCAUGGUUGUCGUCAGCUCGUGUCGUGAGAUGUUGGGUUAAGUCCCGCAACGAGCGCAACCCUUGCUAUUAGUUGCUACGCAAGAGCACUCUAAUAGGACUGCCGUUGACAAAACGGAGGAAGGUGGGGACGACGUCAAAUCAUCAUGCCCCUUAUGACCUGGGCUACACACGUACUACAAUGGAUGUUAACAGAGGGAAGCAAGACAGCGAUGUGGAGCAAACCCCUAAAAACAUUCUCAGUUCAGAUUGCAGGCUGCAACCCGCCUGCAUGAAGAUGGAAUUGCUAGUAAUCGCGGAUCAGCAUGCCGCGGUGAAUACGUUCCC